rnacentral:rRNA from 1 species
GACGAACGCUGGCGGCGUGCUUAACACAUGCAAGUCGAACGGAAAGGCCCUGCUUUUGUGGGGUGCUCGAGUGGCGAACGGGUGAGUAACACGUAAGUAACCUGCCCUUGACUUUGGGAUAACUUCAGGAAACUGGGGCUAAUACCGGAUAGGAGCUCCUGCUGCAUGGUGGGGGUUGGAAAGUUUCGGCGGUUGGGGAUGGACUCGCGGCUUAUCAGCUUGUUGGUGUGGUAGUGGCUUACCAAGGCUUUGACGGGUAGCCGGCCUGAGAGGGUGACCGGCCACAUUGGGACUGAGAUACGGCCCAGACUCCUACGGGAGGCAGCAGUGGGGAAUAUUGCACAAUGGGCGGAAGCCUGAUGCAGCAACGCCGCGUGCGGGAUGACGGCCUUCGGGUUGUAAACCGCUUUCGCCUGUGACGAAGCGUGAGUGACGGUAAUGGGUAAAGAAGCACCGGCUAACUACGUG